CAAUAGCGUAUAUUAAAGUUGUUGCGGUUAAAAGCUCGUAGUUGGAUUUCUGCUGAGGACGACCGGUCCGCCCUCCGGGUGAGCAUCUGGUUCGGCCUUGGCAUCUUCUUGGUGAACGUAUCUGCACUUGACUGUGUGGUGCGGUACCCAGGACUUUUACUUUGAGGAAAUUAGAGUGUUUCAAGCAGGCAUACGCCUUGAAUACAUUAGCAUGGAAUAAUAGAAUAGGACUUUGGUUCUAUUUUGUUGGUUUCUUAGGACCGAAGUAAUAGAUUAAUAGGGACGAGUUGGGGGCGAUUAGUAUUUAAUUAGUUCAGAGGUGAAAUUACUUGG
rnacentral:rRNA from 1 species